rnacentral:rRNA from 1 species
AUGAAGGAUCUAGGAGUAGCUGAUGUUAUCUUAAACAUCAAGCUGUUGAGAGAUGAGAAUGGUGGGAUCACACUGCUUCAGUCUCACUAUGUGGAAAAGGUCUUGAGUCGUUUUGGGUAUAGCGACUGCACACCUUCUCCAACUCCAUAUGAUGCUAGUGUGUUGCUUCGAAAGAAUCGACAGAUUGCUAGAGAUCAACUAAGGUAUUCUCAGAUUAUUGGCUCGCUUAUGUAUUUGGCGAGUGCCACGAGGCCUGACAUCUCUUUUGCUGUGACUUGGAGAGUUAUGCGCUAUUUGAAAGGCACCGCGAGCUAUGGGAUUCACUACACCGGGUAUCCAAGGGUACUGGAAGGUUACAGUGACUCAAACUGGAUUUCUGAUCCUGAUGAGAUAAAGGCCACAAGUGGUUAUGUUUUUACACUUGCUGUGAUCGUCAAGAUAAACAGUUCGAAGGAGAAUAUGAAGUCCUCAAGACAUGUGAAGAGGAGACUAAAAUCUGUCAGAAAAUUGAGGAACUCCGGAGUUAUUAUGUUGGAUUAUAUCCAAACGUUGAUACUUAUCUUAAUGUGUUCCAAGUGGCUUAUUCGGGUAAGCAGAGAUGUUGUCCUGCAGAACAUCUUCUGA